rnacentral:rRNA from 1 species
AGCCUGAACGCUGGCGGCGUGGUUAAGACAUGCAAGUCGAACGGGCCUAGCAAUAGGUCAGUGGCGGACGGGUGAGUAAUGUAUCGCUAACGUACCCUAGAGCCAGGGAUAGCUGCCCGAAAGGGCAGGUAAUACCUGAUGAAAUACUCUUUUCGCAUGAUGAGAGUCUCAAAGCAGCAAUGCAC